UGAUCCAAUUGGCCACCCCGUGUGCCCCCCCUAAAAUUUACAUUACUGAAACUCCGAUUUCCGACGCUCCUGACGCAACUUCGUUGUCCGACCGCAACUGAAUGCACCUUUGUGGUAAUGAAGAGUAGAUAGGACAUGGGUGUGCCUAUGGAGACACUAAGCUAGUGGGGGCAAAGUUUCAGUGUUUUCCAUUGAUGUCAAUAGCACGAAAACUAAAACAAGAAGAAUGUCGGCUCAUUGUCCUGCAUACAGUUGCACACUACGUCGGAAGAUCAAGACAAGGAAACUUGGGAUAAAUUUCCACAGGUUUCCCAAAGACUAUGGGUUGAGGAAGAAGUGGGAAGCAGCUCUGAGGAGAGAAGGGUUUGCUGUAAAUAUAUAACAGCGUAGAGAGAGAGAUAAAUAAAUAAUGAUUAAUAUUAAUAAUAAUUAUAUUGUUUAUUGUAAUUGUGUUGUUUAUUGUAAAUGUAAAUAAACUCUAUCCUUUUCAAGUCUA